CAAUAGCGUAUAUUAAAGUUGUUGCAGUUAAAAAGCUCGUAGUUGGAUUUCUGGUCGGAAGCUCCUGUCCUCUGAUGAGCGUACAAGUGCGUCCUACCAUCCUUCUGUUAACCUUUAAGGCUUUCGCGGCUUUCUAGGGGCUCAGAUAUUUUACCUUGAGAAAAUUAGAGUGUUUCAGGCAGGCUAGCGCCGGAAUACAUUAGCAUGGAAUAAUGGAAUAGGACUUUUGCCUCUUCUGUUGGUCAUGAGGCUCGAGUAAUGAUUAAUAGGGAUAGUUGGGGGCAUUAGUACUUAACUGUCAGAGGUGAAAUUCUCGGAUUUGUUAAAGACUAACUUAUGCGAAGGCAUUUGCCAAGGAUGUUUNCAUUA
rnacentral:rRNA from 1 species